rnacentral:lncRNA from 1 species
AAAUAUUAUGAUUACCUCAUUUCAGACAGAAGUACAAGCGAACAGAUGACACAUUAAAGUCGCUGCAGAAGCUUGAAAAGUUAGAUAGAGCAGGGACAGUCAAAACUGGGAUAAUACUUCUAUGGUAUCCAACAUGUCUAGUCAGGUUGACAGAAGUGAAAGAUGGUCUGAUGGUACAAUGAUAAGAACAGUAGAUAUGUACAAAUGAUACUCUUUAACAAGUUUAACAUGUCAAAGUGUAAAAUGUUCUGUGGAUUCAUAUGAUGAGAAUGCCAAUGUUGAUCUGUAUGACUUAAUUAAACACAGAUAUUGAUACAUUCAGAUAUAUACCUGUGAAAUCUUCAGUGUCACCGUUCAGCUAUUGUUCAAGAUCAGUGUCUGCAGCUUGCACAGUUUAGUAUAGAGGAGCUUUCUGAAUCAAUUUUAUUACAUAUUUGCUGUUAUUGUAGGACGCACAUGUAGAGAGCAACAAGUCCUGUCCAACUGUGCAUGUAAAUGUGAUUCAGAAACUUUGAGAAUAUGUAAACAUAUUUUGUUCAAAAUACUGUGUCUUGUAGUGUGUCAGUACU